rnacentral:rRNA from 1 species
AGCGGCGGACGGGUGAGUAACGCGUGGGUAACCUGCCCUGUACACACGGAUAACAUACCGAAAGGUAUGCUAAUACGAGAUAAUAUGCUUUUAUCGCAUGGUAGAAGUAUCAAAGUUUUUGCGGUACAGGAUGGACCCGCGUCUGAUUAGCUAGUUGGUAAGGUAAUGGCUUACCAAGGCGACGAUCAGUAGCCGACCUGAGAGGGUGAUCGGCCACAUUGGAACUGAGACACGGUCCAAACUCCUACGGGAGGCAGCAGUGGGGAAUAUUGCACAAUGGGCGAAAGCCUGAUGCAGCAACGCCGCGUGAGCGAUGAAGGCCUUCGGGUCGUAAAGCUCUGUCCUCAAGGAAGAUAAUGACGGUACUUGAGGAGGAAGCCCCGGCUAACUACGUGCCAGCAGCCGCGGUAAUACGUAGGGGGCUAGCGUUAUCCGGAAUUACUGGGCGUAAAGGGUGCGUAGGUGGUUUCUUAAGUCAGAGGUGAAAGGCUACGGCUCAACCGUAGUAAGCCUUUGAAACUGGGAAACUUGAGUGCAGGAGAGGAGAGUGGAAUUCCUAGUGUAGCGGUGAAAUGCGUAGAUAUUAGGAGGAACACCAGUUGCGAAGGCGGCUCUCUGGACUGUAACUGACACUGAGGCACGAAAGCGUGGGGAGCAAACAGGAUUAGAUACCCUGGUAGUCCACGCCGUAAACGAUGAGUACUAGC